CUGGUUGGGCAGUUAACAACUGUCUCUCUGAAGCUGGGAUUCAGACAUAGAGGCUCUGAGUCUGAGAGUCUCCUGAAUAAAUCUUCUUUGAAGCUGCCUGCCUUGGAUUAUCCUCAAGAAAAAGAUUCAUGGAAGUUCAUUAGCAAGAAAAAAAAAAUCAAGACAACUGGUGACGGCUUGAGAUGCAGUGGGAGAUUCUAUCUUUUUAUCUUGAAAGGUAAAAGUGAGAGCUUCAUUUUAAAAUAAGGUAAGACCACGAAUAAAGUUGUUUAAUCCUACUUGAAUUAUUAAAUG
rnacentral:lncRNA from 1 species